rnacentral:rRNA from 1 species
UCAAUGGCUCAGGAAUGAACGCUACCGGCAGGCUUAAUACAUGCAAGUCGGAGGGGCAAGCAUGAACUAGCAUAGUUUUGAAUGGCGACCGGGCAAACGGGUGCGGAACAACGGUACACAACCUUCCUUUAAGUGGGGAAUAGCCCAGAGAAAUUUGGAUUAAUACCCCGUAACACAACGGAAGUGGCAUCACUUUUGUUGUUAUAGUUUCGGCGCUUAAUGAUGGGUGUGCGUAUGAUUAGAUAGUUGGCGAGGUAACGGCUCACCAAGUCUACGAUCAUUAGCUGAUGUGAGAGCAUGAUCAGCCACACGGGCACUGAGACACGGGCCCGACUCCUACGGGAGGCAGCAGUAAGGAAUAUUGGUCAAUGGACGCAAGUCUGAACCAGCCAUGCCGCGUGAAGGAUUAAGGUCCUCUGGAUUGUAAACUUCUUUUAUAUGGGACGAAAAAAGGUCUUUCUAGACCCCUUGACGGUACCAUAUGAAUAAGCACCGGCUAACUCCGUGCCAGCAGCCGCGGUAAUACGGAGGGUGCAAGCGUUAUCCGGAUUCACUGGGUUUAGAGGGUGCGUAGGCGGGUAGGUAAGUCAGUGGUGAAAUCCUGGAGCUCAACUCCAGAACUGCCAUUGAUACUAUCUAUCUUGAAUAUU